CAUUCUCUUGCUGGUCGGGCCAGGCCCGGCGUGUUCCACGAGAGCCCGGCAGACUGACGGGGAGAGAGAGAGAGAGAGCGAGAGAGCGAGAUAAAGAGAGGAGAGAGACAGAGAGACUGACAGAGAGAGAGAGAGAGAGAAAGGAGGGGAGGAGGAUUCAGGGAAUAGGAGCUGGGGAGCCCUGCUGCGCUACAGAAAAUUUCUAAUGACUUGGUGAAGAUAGGAAAACCGUCAGAAAGGCUGAAGUACUGCCAUACUACAAUUACUUCGGUGACUGUCUCCACUCUAUGCAAUGUAUAAGUCUGUGUCUGAAACGAGACAUCCUCUGCAGUCAGAAGAACAAGAAGUAGGCAUUGACCCCUUGUUCAGUUAUUCAAAUAAAACAAGAGGUAAGUUUUCUGUGCAGAUGCAGUGUGCAUAUGCUAGGAACUUAAGCGAGGGCCUUCAGUACGUCUGCUCACAUUAUGCUGUAAGUCUUCGCAUGUAGCAAAUCAGACCAAGUUUAAGAGUAUUUUGCUAGUUAUGUGUAGAAUGCUCUUAAUGCUAGUUAAUACCUGAAAAAGUCUCCUGUGUGUUGGAGGUAAUAGAUGUGUUAGCCCAGUGUCAUUCUUUAAGAACAGUCAUAUACUAGACAAUGCCUUCAAUGUCGAAGGUCACUGGUGAAACAGAAACCCACUUUGUCAGACACAUCCUGAAGAAUCCUGAGCUGCUGUGGUCGAGCUUUCAGGUAAUUUACCCCUCUCCAAACAUUACAUUGAGUUCACCUAGGAUGAACUUUUUAAUAUCGUUUCUUAUUAUUUUUCCUUUCUUUUUAUAAAUAAUUUAAACUUGUAUCACACUCUUGUUGAUAUGUACAGUAAAAUUGUGAAAUUGUUAAAUUGUACAUCAUUGAAAAGUAUGCAUGGUUCAGGUUCUAAUGUCUUAAAAUGCCUUAAAUAUGUAUGUAUCAGAACCAUCAAUGAUUUUUUCAUAUUAACUUCAUGGUGGACUUUCUAAAAAAGUCAAGUUUCUUAAAAAUCUUAAAGUCUUAUGCUUAAUUUUGAGUAGUUCAUUAAGCAUCUAAAAAAAGUUCCUGGUCAAAUGACUACUAGUAAUUUUUUAUUCAUAAAAAUGCAUAUAUCAAGAUUAUAAGAUCUACUUCAAACAAAUUAUUUGAAAUAAUUCAUUGUUUAUGCUUUAAGCAAAGUUAUUUUUACCUGAAUACUGAUGUUCAGAUUUACCAUAAUGUUUAGGUAAUUAAAAAAAAAAACCUGACUCCUAAAAUGGUCGUUUCUACUGAACAAAAGCUCUUUACUUCUGCGUUUAUUGGGGUGUGUAUGUGUGUUUGUGUGUGUGAUACUUUAAUGCCUUCUACAUCCUGUAAAUGCUGUUGAUAUUUUUGUUAAAAAUAUAAGCAUUUUCCCUUUAAAAUUAUUUUGUGAUUUUAUUUGUUGUUUGUUUUAUAAGGACCCCAAAAGACUAUUUAGGCUUUGACAAUAUGAAAAUUAAUUUUGAUUAUUUCAGUUGAAGUAUCUUAACAUGUUGGAAAGCCUGAAAGCUUUUCUUAUGAUAUUUCCCUUAAAUGUAAUGCCUAUAGUUCCAUAAAUGCUUUUAAGUGAAUAUGUAUUUAGAUUAGAAGAAUAUAGAAAAUCUUGCCAAUACUUUUCAGAAUAUUUCUUGUUUAUCUGCUUAUUUGAGAAAAUCGUUUUCUGUUGUGUUUUAAGUGAAUAUUUUUUCUCUGGGCUAUUUCAUUAAAUAUUGAGCAUUUUGAAACCUGGUUAGAAACAUUUUAAAUUAAUUUUAUCUUAUAUUGUCUAAAGGAAUGAGUAGUUACCUUUCCUGAAAGGGAUUUUCAUUUAUAUCCUAGCCUAACAUUUCUGUGACAUACCAAGUUAUUAGGACUGAAUUGAUGUUUUAAAGUGCCAUUAAUUCAUUUACCCCAAAUGUUCAUUAACAAUGUAAAUGUAUGCUGAUGUUGUAUGAGACAAGGAAGUGACUAAUGACUCUUCCAGCUAACAACACUUAAAAUGAAUAGAAACUUUCGAUAGCUAAUCUUGAAGUAAUCAAGCCCCUCAUUCAGCUUGGCAUCUCUGUAUGCUCUACAGCAGCUGUCAACUGUUAAAAAUAUAUACAAAACACACAUACGCUCAGGCACGUAAGGAAAGAAAGACAUGGGAAGAGCUGGGCUUUGUACGACAUAGAGGUUACUAACCACAGUGAGUUUUGUGUGUCUUGUACGUAAACAUUUUACAUCAAGUACCUGUUUGGUCUUCUUUGGUUGCACUUUGCACACAUACAAAUUGUGUAUUACAUUUUCUUGGGGUUGUCAUAUUUACUUGAAGAAUCAUUACCUUUAGAGUUCAUUUUAAUUUGUGUCUUACAUUGACUUUCUUGAAGGAUUUUGACGCCCUUUUUACAUUUCUGCAAUACACUGUAGGGAAUUUGUGAGCUACACAAUCACUCCUUGUCUAAACAGAUAAACACUGGAUUUGAAUUAGUAGUUUUUCUGCCUGAAGUCAUCUGCAAUUAAAAACAACCCUGUUAGAGAUUCCGUUAGUAAAGCAAUCUUCUGUUGUGUCAAAUCUGAAUUCUAACAUUUCUAAAGAAACAACACUAGUAAAUGAUUUUGAGAAUUCUUUCGAAAUUAGAAAGGAAAAUGGAAUUAGAUAAAAAAAAACCUCAUUUUUUAUUUUUAUGGGGGUAGAUAAACUACUGUCCUUAUAUAUGUGUGAAGUCAUACAGCAUAUUUCCAUAUUAAUUAUACUUUUAAUCUUUUUUCCAAAUAAUAACCAAUAUAGAAAUAUAUUAUAUACUCUCUGUGCCUUAUCAAGUUUGGCUGUGCGCUUAUAUUCCACCCUAAAUUUCAGAGUCUUUGGUCAAAGAGUUGACCAGAUAUCCAUAAUUCCACUCAAAAUAUCACAUACAAUAUAUUUGAAUUUCGUAAUUAUUUUUUCUUACCAUCUCUCUUAAUGAUAAAUGAAAAUGAUUAUUUUUGAUUAGGCUGAAUGUCUGGAGAUCUAGGAGAUGUUACUAAGUUUAGCCAGUAGGAUUACCACUUGUUUCCCCAUGUGAUAACAACUUAAGCUUUUAUUAACAUCGAGAAAAGAUUUUUCCAUAUAGGGUGUCUUUGAGAAUAGUAUUUUGUAUUAUAUUGCCAAAAGUUUUAGCUUGAGUUUUAUAUGACAUAACACUCUGCUUCUAAUUUCAACACUAGAUAAUUUUUACUGUUAAAUAUUAUUUCUUUCAAUGCUUUCUAUCCUCAGAAUUAUUUUAAAAUUACCUAUUUAAAAGUUGCAGGGAGGUGGUGUCACAAACCUAUAAUUGCAGUGAUACAGAGGUAAAGGCAGGACUCAAGGAGAAGGAGAAACCAGGCCUCCGAGUUUUAUGCCAACCUGGUCUACACAGGGAGUUUCAGGACACCCAGAGCUGCACAGAGAAACCUAUUUUAGG
rnacentral:lncRNA from 1 species